ACAAAGGCUCUUUUCAGAGCCACAGUUUGGCCAGGCAUGGUGGCU
rfam:Otolemur garnettii contig029032, whole genome shotgun sequence.